GGCGUCGUAGCCAAACGGCUAAGGCAGCGGAUUGCAAAUCCGCGAUUUCCCGGUUCGAAUCCGGGCGACGCCU
rnacentral:tRNA from 1 species